rnacentral:rRNA from 1 species
AGAGUUUGAUCAUGGCUCAGGAUGAACGCUAGCUACAGGCUUAACACAUGCAAGUCGAGGGGAAACGACAUCGAAAGCUUGCUUUUGAUGGGCGUCGACCGGCGCACGGGUGAGUAACGCGUAUCCAACCUGCCCACCACUUGGGAGUAACCUUGCGAAAGCAAGACUAAUACCCAAUGACGUCUCUAGAAGACAUCUGAAAGUAGAUUAAAGAUUUAUACGGUGAUGGAUGGGGAUGCGUCUGAUUAGCUUGUUGGCGGGGUAACGGCCCACCAAGGCGACGAUCAGUAGGGGUUCUGAGAGGAAGGUCCCCCACAUUGGAACUGAGACACGGUCCAAACUCCUACGGGAGGCA